GUUAAGUCAGGCAACGAGCGAGACCCAGCCCACAGUUGCCAGCGGUACUCUCUGGAGUGACGGGUACACUGUGGGGACCGCCGCUGCUAAAGCGGAGGAAGGAAUGGGCAACGGUAGGUCAGUAUGCCCCGAAUAUCCCGGGCUACACGCGAGCUACAAUGGUUGGUACAAUGGGUAUCUACCCCGAAAGGGGACGGGAAUCUCCUAAAACCAAUCUUAGUUCGGAUUGAGGGCUGCAACUCGCCCUCAUGAAGCUGGAAUCCGUAGUAAUCGCGUUUCAACAGAACGCGGUGAAUACGUCCCUGCUCCUU
rnacentral:rRNA from 1 species